CUUGGGUUAUUAUGUCAUGUUGGUGGAGCACAUCCUCCAGGAGCUUCCGGAAAAAGAAAUUGAAGGGAAAUUUGUGGAGACCUUGCAUGCUGUAAAAUGCAAUUUCUACCUUCAAACUUGAUUGAUAAUCUAGAUAUGAAGAGAAUUAUAGAUUAGAAAUAUUUUCCAGCAAAUUUUUAAAUUUUUAAAGGCACUGCUCUUUUGUUUCGUUACUUGAAGUAUAAGAAUAUACCUCAGGAAGUGAAGGAAUGGGCUGCUGAGGGAAGAGCACUCCAGAUCAUGGAUGUCCAGUGCAAAGAGCCUGGGGUGGGGCAGAAGCAAGCCUGGCAUUGUGGAAGAACAGAUGGUCUGGAAAAAGAAGUCAAGGCACUGAGAGCAUGUUCAGUUGGCAGAAAUUCCAUGACAGCAUCUACAAGGGCAUAUUGGAGAGAGUGAGGCCCCAGCCUGCAUCCCUUUCUACAGAAGUAACAACAAUUUCCAGUUUCUGAGCCUUUCCAGGGUUGUACAUCAUUUCAGAGAGGCUUCAGGAUGGAGUUGUGAUAAACGCAUGUGUUCAGUCUACAAUGUUUAACAGGGAGUGCCUCUUGAUUUUUUCAUGUGAAUUACUGAGGAGUAGGUAGUAGACUAUCUUGAUGCCCUUCCUCAUGUCCCUUUGACUCUGAGUUGACCUGCAGCUGCAGUGAACACUUCCUAAGGAUGCUGAUGUCUUCCCCUAUCAAGCACUUGCCUCAUUCUGCUUCUCCGAGGAUUUCCUCCAGUACACCAAGAGCUUGCCCGACACUCACAAGGUAUCCUGGAACUGCUGGGGACUGAAAACCCCUCAACCCAUGAAGAAUGAGGAUCAGUGGAUUAAUAGCAACUGUCCCAUACCUUGGUGGGACUAUUAUAAGGCAUUCUGGUUGGUUCCUCAGAGGUCCCAAAUGGGAUUGAACCAAAGUUGCCCACAGUAAAAACUCAUUCACCAACUCAAUUUUCAUUUCACCCCUCUCAAUUUGCACACUCACUCACUUGUUCUACCUGGGAUACUCUCCAAGAUAAACUCCUGUAUCCAAAGCUUUGUCUCAAGGUCUCAUUUGGGAGGAACUCAAACUAAGAUAAUAGGUACUGGAAGUGACUACAGAAAGUAUAUUAUCAAUGGUAUGGAGGCAACAAAAACCCCAUUAAUGGUGGUGAGUAAGGUGGUGACAAACCCUGGCACUUUGAAGAAUUUCAUUACCCACAAUUGACCCAUGGUGUACUUGGAUGAGGUAAAAAUGAAAGGAGACGCUAACCUUAUGCAAUAGUGCUAACUCCUGAAAGAUAUAGGGCUGUGAUAAUCACAGGAAUUGAAGAGUUGUCUUGUUCUUGUUAACUCCCCUAGAAGAAUUGGGAAAAAAGAAAGAUAGGUUUACAACAUCCAACUACCCAUUCAGAGCAUAGCAAUGAAAGCCAGAAGGUCUCCUUGGGAGAAUCUGAAGAGACCCCCAUUUCCUGCAACCAGAGGGCAGGCUGUUCUAAAAAAAUGACAUUCAGGGGUUCACUGCAAGAGGAAUUGAACUACAGAGCAGACUGAAGACACAGUCCAGGCAGGCCUCUCAUGCAAAAGUCAAAGCCCUAGAGGAAGGAAAUGGUCCUUAAAAACUACUGGGAUGCAGGCAGGCAUCUGGAUAGAUGUGCUAGAUAACCUUGAACCCCUAGAUUCCCUGAACAACCCAGGCUAGCAGGAGUAUCCUGCACCCUGUUACUUGAACAGAACAGCUUCCCUUUGCCUAGAGACUCUACACAGUCCUCCUCUGAAGCAGACACCUCCAAGAUUACUUCAAGGUCUGCUACUUCCUGCCCUCAUUGCCUCUAUUCCAAAAACUGGAAACAAGUCUCAGCAUGCCCUGAGCAGGGUAGCACAUUUCUUGCUGUGAGAGAUAUGACAGAUUGUAUUUUCUAAAGAAGGCUGCAACCAUGUCUCUCAUCCCAAAUGCUCUUCUACAAUGCAAUCUUGUCACUCCUCUACCAAGAGAUGAAACCUAAUUUCAAUGCCCUUGAAUCUAAGCUGGACUUUACUUGCUUUGACCUGUAAUGUACAGAAGUGACACUGUGUGAUUCUUACAGCUGAGUCAUAAAAGGUGAUGCAGCUUCUGCCUUGUUCCUGGGGACAUAUGCCUCUGUGAGAUUGAGCUACUAAAUAACAAGACCACCUACCUUGAGGCUGCCAUGCUGGAAGAAAGCAAAGCCACAUGAAGAGCAAGUAAGCUGGUUGCUUUAGCAAGAUCCUUCAUAUUGAUAGUGAAUGUGCACUUCUGUCUUUCUCUUGUGAAUGCAAACCACUUUUUCAAUAGUCUCACGUUAAGUGCCAAAGAUUGUUGUUUUUGUUGAAUGCAUUCUCUUUAUCAUUCACUACCUGGCCCUAGGAAUUUGUUCAAUGAUCCUCAUUUCUGUUACAAUAUAGUCUUCAGUGACCUUGAUCAUCUUCACAUUCUAUAGAACAUCAUCCUGGCCCAUUAUAUUAAUGACAGAAUAAUAAUUGAACUUGGUUUUUAGGAAGGAGCAAGUAUACUGGUUUUAAAUACUUCAUGCUGAAGGAAUGAGAGAUAAGCCCUACAAAGUUUUGGAAGUCUGCCACAUCAGGGAAUAUUUUAGGGGCCCAAAGAUCCAGGGGUAUGUUGAGACACCCUACUCAAAAGAAUACUUUACAUUUCCUACCACUAAGACAGAGGCACAGCACUUGGUGAGCUGCUUUGAAUUCCUGAGGCAAAAAAAUAACAAUAAUAAAUACUACCCAUGAGAAUAAUGCUCUGAUCUAUUGUAUCAGAAGACUAUUGACUUUGCGGGGGUCUGAGAGAGUAUCUGAAUAGCCUUUUAAAGACUUAAAAAGGCAUUGGCUUAGGAAUUGCACCUUGCAUGGCUAGGUCAUUGUCCUCGAGGAUACAGCAUAUUUGUUGAACCAGUGAUCACUAUAUGCAAUCACUGUGCUGUUUUCCCAGCAUUUGGAAUACACAGGAAUGAUAAUUAAAGGAUACAAGUAGGACUGACUUAAACACACUCCCUUUCACCCAUUAGUGGAAAUUAUGUUUUUAAUUCUUACAACUUUAGGCUCUUCCUGAUUAAAAGCCUUGGUCUCAAGGUGUGUGUACAGACGGAGACAGUAAGUGUUCCACUGCAUCAAUGCAGUGCCAUCUGAGGAUUUGGGCAUCUCCAUACUGACAGGUCAGCAGGCAAAAAUGGGAGUACUAUACUGGCAGGGACACCUGACUGAUUAUCUUGAAGAGUCGGAGUUGCUGCUACAUAAUGGGCCCAGGGAGGAAGAUGUCUAGAACUUGGGGGAAUCACUCAGGCCCCCCUUAGUGCUUCUUUGUCUGGCGAUAAUAGCAGAGAAGCAAUUGAAGUAGCCAUGUCCUCACAAGGGCAAGGUAAUCAAGGCCCAGCCACUCAGAGAUGAAGGUCUGGUCAUACACUGAGCAAGCAAUGAUGACUAGUGGAAGUGCUAGCCAAGGAUUCGGGAAAUCUAGAAGAAGUGGAAUUGGAGAGAGAUGAUGAGUAUAGAUUAUAGCCUUGGGACCAGCUGCAGCAGUGAAGAUUGUGACUUGUUCCACAUAUUCUUCUAUUUUCAGUCAUUUUUGGAGAUUGCAGCCAGCUACAACUCUGAAAUGUCAGUAACAGAGCAAACUAAGGGUGGGCAUGAGAGGAUCUGCUGAGAGCAAGGAAUGAACAUGGUAGUCACUAAUGAUACACUGCCCAUGUUCCCCGGCUCACCUGUUAGCUCCCCGGCAGCUUGCAAACAUGUCUAUACACACUGCCAUCUUCCUACCACGAGUGCCAUAACUCUCUGCUUCUCUGCUGAGGCCCUUCUCAGCUCACAGUGCGAGUAGCCUGCAAGUGCUAAGGGCAUAAUGCCUCCAAGGUCAACUUUAAUCAACGAGGUUCAAGAGUCAGAAGAGUGAAUUCCUUCUGAGAUACAUUCUUUCUGGUUUCUCAGAGGCUCCCCAGAGGAAGUAGGCCCCAGUUGCUUAGGAAAAAUGGAACCUACUUAUUAAGGCACCCCCUUUUUACUUUUCUCCUUUCUUUCUCUCCCUUUCCCCACUCCAUUCCGUGAAGUUCCUGGGAUCACCAAAUAAACUAUCUGUAAUCAAAUCUUUAUCUCACUCUGCAUUCUGGGGAACCCAAACAAAGAUGGUCCACUGACUUGUCACAUGGCAGAACGGAGAGCUACCUCAGGC
rnacentral:lncRNA from 10 species